UUGCAUUGGCUCAGACGACGUCCUAUUGACAACUUUCAUGAUGCUUCACAACAAGUGAUGACGACAUGUGCCUCGGAAUCCAGCAACAUUCCGAAUGGAAUCCUCUGGGAUUAAUGGACAGAUGAAUCAGAGACGGAUCCUCAUCCAUACCUGACAUGUGUGUUGUGGUCCAGCAGGUGUGAAAAAAACAAGACUUACUAUCAUAAGUAAUUUCACAUCUCAGGUAAAUGUAUCUUGAUUUAAGCAUGUGUAGAUAUUUAGGAAACAAGACAAGAAUACUGUCUACAAAACCAUUCUUUUUGUGUCUGUGUGUGUGGUGUACAAUAACAGAAUGCCUGUUUGUAUCUGUGUUUCUGGUCUAAAAAUGAAGUUUGACUCCAGAAUAAACUUUCCAGCUUUUUGUCAACAUCAAAGACCUUUGAAAAGUGUAAAUAAGUCUUUAUUUGUUGCGGCUACAUGCACUUUUUCUCCCGGCAGCUCAUUUUUCUGUAUGACGGCUCCCGUGGACCCCACAACAAACGUGUCUGCCGUUGACGGGAUGCCAGAGAAAAGGACAAGCAUCUGCUCCAGCAACUGCCGAGAGUGUCGGAGAAAGCGAGAGACGAGCCCAGAAUCAAACUGAAGAUCUGCUGAGCUGAAGUGACGCAGAUGCUGAUAGGUGUUGAUGAGAACCAGCGGUUCCCAUAAUUCCUCAGGCUCAUUCAGCACAGCUAAUCCAAACUCAGUUCCUGAUUCAGUCCACUGCGCUUGCUUCACUUCAGUCCUGCGAUCAGAGACAAGCAGAGAAAGCCGUGUGUGACCUGAGCCGCGCGCUUUCCCUCACAGAUAUCACAGCUUUGGGAAAGUUCCAUUUCCGAGCGGGAAGCCAACAGGUUUGAUAUCAGCGAGGCAUAAAACAGGCCACUGCACUUCAUUUGAGAUGUGGAUUUACAACACCAGUCUUCACUUUACAAUCUGAAACAUGAAAGAGAUCCAUUAUUAAAGACCUGAGCUGAAC
ensembl:lncRNA